UCAUCGUCGAUAUCAGAAUACUGGAUAGCAUAGGCUACUCGUGUUCUUGCUUUUUCAGGUGGAGAGGCAUAUUAGAGCUCAGUGAGAGCCCAUAACAUUAUACAGCAGUGUUGUCUUGAUUUAAUUGGGAUUUGAGCAACUUUUCCACAAACAAAAUUCUGAUGCUGACACAGAGGAUGGAGUGAUAAUACCAGAGAUCAGCGUCUCCAUCAGACAAUAAUGUUACUUUGUUCAGACAUAUCACCUUUGAAUGACUGGGAUCCUUAUCUUCAGACACCUGUUGUAUUUUAUUUUAAUAUUAUAAAAUAGCAAAUAUUUUAAUUUCUUUGGAGCUCUAGAUUAAAACAAACACAGUACACAAGAGGUUGCAGUUUAUUCUUAUUAGUCUCUGCUGAUCAUGGAUUAGCAUACCAACAGCAUAUGAAUGGAAUAGUUCAUCCAAAAAUAAAAUUCUCACUUAUUUUACUCACCCUCAUGCUGUCCCAGAUGCAUUUUACUUUCUUUCUACAGAUAAAUACGAAUUAAGAUUUUAAGGAAAGUAAUCCAUCUCUGCAAGCCCUAAAGAUGCUUUAAAAACCACACACAGUGACCGUGAUGUCCAUGUGACCUCAGUGGAUGAAUCAAUACUGAAGUGAAACAAUAGAAUAAAAAAAAAAAAA